AUGCCUAGGACAAAGGAGGGAAUCAACUCCAGCUCCUGCAAGGUGGGGCUGAGGCCCAGUGGAAGCCAUGGCCAGUCUGACCCCUCAAGGCCUCUCAAGCACAACGGACCCUUUUCCCUCAGCUGUCCAUGGUCUGGGUCUUGGCCUGUUUUGGGGUCUCCAACAGCCCCAGGACCUCACUGGAUGCUUCCCACCAGAGUUGGCUUCCACCUAGGUCUCCAUCCCUCCUUCUCCCUAGGUCCCCUAGCUGGGUCCUCUGACCCUCACACCAUAUUUCAUACUAGUUUUGCUUCUGGUUCAUUUUUGUCCUGCGCUGUGGACCUCUGGUUCUGGAGAGGGACUCGGUGUGGGCUCAGGAAAGAGAUGAAUGGAUCGGGCCCCUGCCAUGGAAACAGGCAUAAAAAGAGCUGGCCUCCUCCCUCCAGAAACUAGCAACCCUGGGCCCUUAAGAAGUGGAAUCCCAAGUAAAGAUUGAUAGCCUUACAGGGACACUGGACUUUCCUUAUAUCCGUUGUGGACAAUCCUUGAAAACAACCAUGUGACUACUCAAUCUGGAUGAUCAUAGCUAAUUUACUUGGGUAUCCCUGAACAACAGCCCUGGACCUUUCUUGCUAACUAAAUCACUGAGAUAUUUGUGGCUCAUUACUUAAACUUUCCUGGGUUAACUUUUUUGCUCGAACAUUUAGGCAUUCCAGGAUGAUAUUUGACUUUGCCCCAUGAUCUUUUGCCCUGGUAGCUGACUACAUCAAUUUUUCACUCUUAAGACCUUGGGUUUUCCUGACCAAGGGCAUCAGACAUCCCCUCCCUCCUCCCACUCUGGCUUUUUCUCUGGGACUUCCAGGAAGAAAACAGGAAUGUUUCUAUGAUUCCACCAUUAUAUAGAAUAUUAACAGAUAGUUUACUUAUAUAUUCUAUUUCAAGAAGUCUAAGAAUUUUUGAAAGUUACGAAUGGAUAUUAGUUUUUAUCAGGUGAUGAUGAUACUAAAAUUUAUUAAACUGCCUUCCUAUAGUCCAACACCUAUUUUUUAAAAAAGCACUUAUGGUAUUGAGUUUCAAUAUAUUAUUUUAACUGCCUUUAAAUUUUCUAAUUGUGGUAAAAUACACAUAACAUAAAUAUUAUCAUCUUAACCAUUAUUAAAUAUUCAGUUCAAUAGUAUCCAGUACAUUCACACUGUUGUGCAGUCUCUAGAAUUUUUAUCUCGCUAAACUGAAACUGUACACUUUAAACAACAAUUCCCCAUUCUACACUUCCCUAGCCCCUGACAGCCACCAUUUCCCUUCUUCUCUGAACUUAACUACUCAGGGUGCCUCAUGUUAGUAGAAUCAUACAGUAUUUGAUCUUUUAUGUCUGGCUUAUUUCACUUAGCAUCAUGCCCUCAAGGUUCUUCCGUGCUGUGGCAUAUGUCAGAAUUUCCUUCUUAAGACUGAGUAAUAUCCCAUUGGGGUGUGUGUGUGUGUGUGUGUGUGUGUGUGUGUGUGUGUAUCACAUUUUUAAAAUCCAUUCAUCUGUUGAUGGACACUUGAGUUGCUUCCACCUUUGGCUAUCAUGAACAGUGCUGCUAUGAAUACAGGUAGACAAAUAUCUCUCAGAUCACAUUCCUAAUUGUUUCAAGAAUAUACCCUAAAGUGGAAUUGCUGGAUCAUAGAGUAAUUUUAUUUUUAACUUUUUGAGCAAUUGCUAUACUAUAUUAUUUUCCAUAGCAGCUGCACCAAUUUGCAUAUUCUACCUAUUUUAAAGUUUAAAAACUGAGGUUCAGAAAGAUUAAGUCACUUGCUACUACAGCUAAAAUGUGGUAGAGAAAACUUUAAGUUAUGUCUGUUGUAUUAAUUUCCUAAGGUUGCCAUAACAAAGUACCACAAACUGGGUGGCUUAAAAUGGCAGAAAUUUAUUCUGUCACUAUUCUGCAGGUCAGAUGUCUGACAUCAAUGGUCAGAAGACAUUCAUUGGCACCUGAGUGGCUCAGUUGGGUAAGCGUCUGCUUUUGGCUCAGGUCAUGAUUCCAGAGUCCUGGGAUCGAGCCCCACAUUGGGUUCUCUGUUCAGUGGGGGAAGUCUGUUUCUCCCUCUGCCCCUCCAUUCCCAAUCAAGCGUUCUCUCUCUCUCUCUCUCUCUCUCUCUCUCAGAUAAAUAAAUAUUUUAAAAAAGAAAAGACGCUCA
rnacentral:lncRNA from 1 species